CCUACGGGGGGCAGCAGUGAGGAAUAUUGGUCAAUGGGCGGGAGCCUGAACCAGCCAAGUCGCGUGAGGGAAGACGGUCCUAUGGAUUGUAAACCUCUUUAGGCGGGGAGCAAUGCGGGGCACGCGUGCCCGGAGGGAGAGUACCCGCAGACUAAGCAUCGGCUAACUCCGUGCCAACAGCGGCGGUAAUACGGAGGAUGCGAGCGUUCUCCGGAUUUAUUGGGGUUAAAGGGUGUGUAGGGGGAUUUUUAAGUCAGCGGGAAAAUGGCCGGGCUCAACCCGGGCCGGCCGUUGAAACUGGGGAGCUGGAGUGGGGGAGAGGUAUGCGGAAUGCGUGGUGUAGCGGUGAAAUGCAUAGAUAUCACGCAGAACUCCGGUUGCGAAGGCAGCAUACCGGAGCGCGACUGACGCUGAGGCACGAAAGCGUGGGGAUCGAACAGGAUUAGAUACCCCAGUAGUC
rnacentral:rRNA from 1 species